rnacentral:lncRNA from 1 species
GGGAGAGAGUAAAAUUCGCGUCUGUGAGAGGACGACUAAGGGGAGAGAACUACACCUCUCACUCAAUUCUCAAAAGUCCCGAGGAGGGGUGGAGAGGUGGUUCGGGUGUUAAGAAUGCAUACUGCUUUUGCAGAGGACUGAGUUUAGUGCCGAGCACCCACACAAGGGUACUCACAACUGCCUGUAACAACCCCUCCAGGCUCCAUGCCUUCCUGGCUCUAUGGGCACCCACACUCAUUUGCACAGUUCCCCGUGCAUACAAAUAAUUAAAAAGAAAACAGAUCUUUUAAAAGAAGUCCCGAGGAGAAUGUGCUUUAGAUUCUCCCUUUCAAGAUAGACGGAGGCUCAGGCAGUCGAUGCAGCUGCUUAAAUCAAUGCGAAGCUCCGAUACAGUACAGUGUGGUGAAACUGGCUGAUUGAUUCAAGAAACUGACCAGGCGCUGGUGGCACAUGCCUUUAAUCCGAGUACUCGGGAGACAGGGGUAGGUGGAUUUCUGUGAGUUCGAGGCUAGCCUGGUCUACGGAGUGAGUUCCAGGAUAGCCAGGUCCACACAGAAAAGCCAAAAUGUCAAGAAAAGCC